ACGGCUCAGUAACACGUGGACAACCUACCCUACGGAGGGGGAUAACCCCGGGAAACUGGGGAUAAUACCCCAUAGACUAUGGAUGCUGGAAUGCUCUGUAGCCGAAAGGUCCGCCGCCGUAGGAUGGGUCUGCGGCCGAUUAGGUUGUUGUUGGGGUAACGGCCCAACAAGCCUGUAAUCGGUACGGGUUGUGGGAGCAAGAGCCCGGAGAUGGAUUCUGAGACACGAAUCCAGGCCCUACGGGGCGCAGCAGGCGCGAAAACUUUGCAAUGCGGGAAACCGUGACAAGGGAACUCUGAGUGCCCGUAAAAUCGGGCUGUCCAUCGGUUUAAAUAACCGGUGAAGAAAGGGCCGGGCAAGACCGGUGCCAGCCGCCGCGGUAAUACCGGCGGCUCGAGUGGUGGCCACUAUUACUGGGCUUAAAGCGUUCGUAGCUGGUUUGUUAAGUCUCUGGGGAAAUCUUCCGGCUUAACCGGAAGGCGUCUCAGGGAUACUGGCAGACUAGGGACCGGGAGAGGUGAGAGGUACUCCAGGGGUAGGAGUGAAAUCCUGUAAUCCUUGGGGGACCACCUGUGGCGAAGGCGUCUCACCGGAACGGCUCCGACAGUGAGGGACGAAAGCUGGGGGAGCAAACCGGAUUAGAUACCCGGGUAGUCCCAGCUGUAAACGAUGCGCGUUAGGUGUAUCGGUGACCACGAGUCACCGAGGUGCCGAAGAGAAAUCGUGAAACGUGCCGCCUGGGAAGUACGGUCGCAAGGCUGAAACUUAAAGGAAUUGGCGGGGAGCAC
rnacentral:rRNA from 1 species